UACGGGAGGCAGCAGUGGGGAAUCUUGGACAAUGGGGGCAACCCUGAUCCAGCCAUGCCGCGUGAGUGAUGAAGGCCCUAGGGUUGUAAAGCUCUUUCGCCAGGGAAGAUAAUGACGGUACCUGGAUAAGAAGCCCCGGCUAACUCCGUGCCAGCAGCCGCGGUAAUACGGAGGGGGCUAGCGUUGUUCGGAAUUACUGGGCGUAAAGCGCACGUAGGCGGCUAUCCAAGUUAGGGGUGAAAUCCCUGGGCUUAACCCAGGAACUGCCUUCAAAACUGGAUGUCUAGAGUCCGAGAGAGGUGAGUGGAAUUUCCAGUGUAGAGGUGAAAUUCGUAGAUAUUGGAAAGAACACCAGUGGCGAAGGCGGCUCACUGGCUCGGUACUGACGCUGAGGUGCGACAGCGUGGGGAGCAAACAGGAUUAGAUACCCUGGUAGUCCACGCCGUAAACGAUGGGAGCUAG
rnacentral:rRNA from 1 species